rnacentral:rRNA from 1 species
CCUACGGGAGGCAGCAGUGGGGAAUAUUGCACAAUGGGGGAAACCCUGAUGCAGCGACGCCGCGUGAAGGAAGAAGUAUUUCGGUAUGUAAACUUCUAUCAGCAGGGAAGAAAAUGACGGUACCUGACUAAGAAGCCCCGGCUAACUACGUGCCAGCAGCCGCGGUAAUACGUAGGGGGCAAGCGUUAUCCGGAUUUACUGGGUGUAAAGGGAGCGUAGGCGGUUUAGCAAGUCAGAAGUGAAAGCCCGGGGCUCAACCCUGUACAUGCUUUUGGAACUGUGGUGCUAGAGUGCAGGAGAGGUAAGUGGAAUUCCUAGUGUAGCGGUGAAAUGCGUAGAUAUUAGGAGGAACACCAGUGGCGAAGGCGGCUUACUGGACUGUAACUGACGUUGAGGCUCGAAAGCGUGGGGAGCAAACAGGAUUAGAGACCCCAGUAGUC